rnacentral:rRNA from 1 species
CGGCGAGUGAAGCGGCAAAAGCUCAAAUUUGAAAUCUGGCGUCUUUGGCGUCCGAGUUGUAAUUUGAAGAAGGUAUCUUUGGGCCCGGCUCUUGUCUAUGUUCCUUGGAACAGGACGUCACAGAGGGUGAGAAUCCCGUGCGAUGAGAUGACCCGGGUCUGUGUAAAGUUCCUUCGACGAGUCGAGUUGUUUGGGAAUGCAGCUCUAAGUGGGUGGUAAAUUCCAUCUAAAGCUAAAUAUUGGCGAGAGACCGAUAGCGAACAAGUACAGUGAUGGAAAGAUGAAAAGAACUUUGAAAAGAGAGUGAAAAAGUACGUGAAAUUGUUGAAAGGGAAGGGCUUGAGAUCAGACUUGGUAUUUUGCAUGCUGCUCUCUCGGGGGCGGCCGCUGCGGUUUACCGGGCCAGCAUCGGUUUGGAGCGGCAGGAUAAUGGCGGAGGAAUGUGGCACGGCUUCUGCUGUGUGUUAUAGCCUCUGACGAUGCUGCCAGCCUAGACCGAGGACUGCGGUUUUUACC